UGAAAGUAUUGGUAGAAUUCCAUGUCUGGA
rnacentral:piRNA from 1 species